rnacentral:sRNA from 2 species
UGCUUUAAAAUGUGUGUUGCCGUCAUGGCUUCCCAGCUUUCAAUGCUCUCAUCACGCAUGAAGUCUGCCGCAAAGGUUCUACCGCCAAUUAUUAACACGUCUUUUGGAUCCAAUUUUGAUCAGUUUGGGGAUUACAAAGUUGUUCUAAUAGGUGACGGCAGUCAUGGUACUUCCGAGUUCUACCAGGCUCGUGCAGAGAUUACCAAGCACCUUAUUGAACAUCACGGCUUUGACACAGUAGCUGUGGAAGCCGACUGGCCCGAUGCAGAAUCGGUCGAUCGGUAUGUGAGACUGCGCCCCGGUGUUAAAUCAAAAUUGGAUCCCUCCCCAGAGCCGGCGUUCAGGCGCUUUCCGACGUGGAUGUGGCGUAACAAGGAAAUGCAAGAGUUUGUACAUUGGAUGAG